CUACGGGCUGCUGCAGUGGGGAAUAUUGCACAAUGGGCGCAAGCCUGAUGCAGCCAUGCCGCGUGUAUGAAGAAGGCCUUCGGGUUGUAAAGUACUUUCAGCGGGGAGGAAGGGAGUAAAGUUAAUACCUUUGCUCAUUGACGUUACCCGCAGAAGAAGCACCGGCUAACUCCGUGCCAGCAGCCGCGGUAAUACGGAGGGUGCAAGCGUUAAUCGGAAUGACUGGGCGUAAAGCGCACGCAGGCGGUUUGUUAAGUCAGAUGUGAAAUCCCCGGGCUCAACCUGGGAACUGCAUCUGGAUACUGGCAAGCUUGAGUCUCGUAGAGGGGGGUAGAAUUCCAGGUGUAGCGGUGAAAUGCGUAGAGAUCUGGAGGAAUACCGGUGGCGAAGGCGGCCCCCUGGACGAAGACUGACGCUCAGGUGCGAAAGCGUGGGGAGCAAACAGGAUUAGAUACCCCGGUAGUC
rnacentral:rRNA from 1 species